GCUUACGGCCAUACCAUAUGAGCACGCCCGAUCUCGUCUGAUCUCAGAAGCUAAGCAGGGUCGGGCCUGUUUAUUACUUGGAUGGGAGACUGCCUUGGAAUACCAGGUGCUGUAAGCU
rnacentral:rRNA from 1 species